rnacentral:rRNA from 1 species
UACGUAGGGGUGCAAGCGUUAAUCGGAAUUACUGGGCGUAAAGCGUGCGCAGGCGGCUUUGCAAGACAGAUGUGAAAUCCCCGGGCUCAACCUGGGAACUGCAUUUGUGACUGCAUGGCUAGAGUACGGUAGAGGGGGAUGGAAUUCCGCGUGUAGCAGUGAAAUGCGUAGAUAUGCGGAGGAACACCGAUGGCGAAGGCAAUCCCCUGGACCUGUACUGA